rnacentral:rRNA from 1 species
AAAUUACCCACUCCCGGCACGGGGAGGUAGUGACAAAAAAUAACGAUACGGGACUCUUUUGAGGCCCCGUAAUCGGAAUGAGUACACUUUAAAUCCUUUAACAAGGAUCCAUUGGAGGGCAAGUCUGGUGCCAGCAGCCGCGGUAAUUCCAGCUCCAAUAGCGUAUAUUAAAGUUGUUGCGGUUAAAAAGCUCGUAGUUGGUUCUGCGUGCCGCGCUGUCGGUUCGCCGCCUGUCGGUGUAACUGGCAUGUCGCGGCAUGUCCUGUCGGUGGUGAACGGGGGCACCGGUACUGCUUUGGCUUUUUAAGUCGAUUCUAGUGCCGGGCUGUUUCCCUGUUUGCCGAUCUCUCCUACUUCGGUGCUCUUAAACGAGUGUCGAGGUAGGCCGACACGUUCACUUUGAACAAAUUAGAGUGCUUAAAGCAGGCUGAAAUAUCUGCCUGAAUAGUGGUGCAUGGAAUGAUAAAAUAGGACCUCGGUUCUAUUUUGUUGGUUUUAGGAAUAUGAGGUAAUGAUCAAUGUGGACUGGCGGGGGCAUUCGUAUUGCGACGUUAGAGGUGAAAUUCUUGGAUCGUCGCAAGACGCACUAGAGCGAAAGCAUUUGCCAAGUAUGUCUUAAUUGAUCAAGAACGAAAGUUAGAGGUUCGAAGGCGAUCAGAUACCGCCCUAGUUCUAACCAUAAACGAUGCCAGCCAGCGAUCCGCCGAUGUUCCUUUAAUGACUCGGCGGGGAGCUUCUACUCGGGAAACCAAAGCUUUUGGGUUCCGGGGGAAGUAUGGUUGCAAAGCUGAAACCUUAAAGGAAUGACGGAAGGGCACCACCAGGAGUGGAGCCUGCGGCUUAAUUUGACUCAACACGGGAAAUCUCA